UACAGGGGGGGCAAGCGUUGCUCGGAAUCAUUGGGCGUAAAGCGCACGUAGGCGGUUCGUUAUGUCGGAUGUGAAAGCCCUUGGCUUAACCGAGGAAGUGCAUCCGAUACUGGCGAGCUAGAGUACUAAAGAGGAUCGCGGAAUUCCCGGUGUAGAGGUGAAAUUCGUAGAUAUCGGGAGGAACACCGGUGGCGAAGGCGGCGAUCUGGGUAGAUACUGACGCUGAGGUGCGAAAGCGUGGGGAGCAAACAGG
rnacentral:rRNA from 1 species